GGAACAGAGCAGCAUGAGCACAGCCAUUAGCAGGUAGACAUCACUUUGCCGUAUUACUCCACAUCCUGUUUCUAAGCAACAGGUCUUGCCCAGCAAUUGGACAGUGCAUCGCUCGGCCUUGCCAAUAAGCAACCAACUAUCAGUGAGAUACCUACUGGUACUUCUCCUGCUCAGCUAUUGCUCAGCUCCACAUUGGGCCCUACCUGAUGAUACCUGUCAAUGAGGGACCACUGGGGAAGUGAUUCAGUCAGGAGACAGUGGUGCAUUGUUCAUCUGACUCUUGCCUUUGGGCACUUUACAUUAGUUAUUUUUUAAUCGAGAAUGUAUUUAUGGUAGAUGGGGCAAGUUGAGUUUUCCUACUCAAAUUGAGAGUUGAAGUUUCCCCAAAAAUAUUAGUGGAGGAGACAUUUAUGACUUUCAUGGCUCUGACAUGUAAUUUUAUGGAGAUGGUGUAUAGGCCUUGGGGCAAGAGACUGAGUAUUCACCAAGUCUUGGGGUCUCUAAAGCUCAUUGGAGUAGCAAAAACAUCCAACCUGUUCUUAAUUACCUUUUUCCAUGUUAAGUGCUUGCUCUUAAGUUACUUAAGACCCUCAAGAACCCCCACUAGGAAGAGGGUUGUCGAAAGAUGAAAUGACAAGACGAUUCUGAGGAACAGAUUUGGAGGGAAAAGUGUUUGGUAGAGGUUCAUACAGGGAUGGAGGAGGCAGGAGUGUUGAAGGGGGACAUACACGUCAAAGAAUAAAGGGCACUGAAAGAAAGUCUGAGGGUCAUGAGAAGAAAUACCAUGCCCCUGAAUCACCACUCCCCAGAAUCAGACACACAGAGGUGUCAGGGGUGAGAAAGUUGUAUCAUGGCCUCCAUCAGCACCCACUAACCCAUGUUGAUGGGCACAGUGGUACAUUGUGAUGUCUAAGACCCCAAAGCCACCAUUGGCUGGGGGAGUACCUAGCUGACCAAUCAGAUUGAAGGGUGUGGCUCCUCAUUGUCCUGAGCAGAUAUACAUAGGGAGGUCAGAGGCAGAGAUUCUGGGUUAGACCAUGUCAUGCUAUCAUCAUAAGGUAACCCGGAAGCCACAGCAGCCAAGAGGAGUUCCAAUGCGGUGUGCUUCAAGGGUGAAAGGACGAAAGAAGACCCUUUGUCCACAGAGAUACAGAGGCAGUGUGAAAGCACGGAAUAUGACCAUGAGGGUCAGAAGACCUC